AACAUAUGGCACUACAAGAUAUGCAGUAUGCCAGGGACCUGGGACAGUCUUCCCACCAUCAUUGCCCCAGCUCUGUAAAGCAUCAUUCUUGUUGUCAGGGGUUCAGGAGCAGAGGCAAGGGCAAGGGAGGAAACAGAGAGUGAGGGGGAGGAGGCAGAAGAGAAAAUGAGUGAUGACGACGACCCGAGAUCUCCGAGUCUUUCCAGUGAAUCAGACGAUUCACAGAAAGGAGCACCAGUGGCCAGGGCAAGGGGGGAGACUAGGGGGACACCCCAGGAAGAAAGGGCCAGAGGGGGCUCAGAGGGGAGCAGUGGGAAAUCGGGACCAGCGUCACCCACAGAGAGCAGGGGAGAGGAAGGGCGCCAGGUAUCAAGCGCUGGUAGCUCACAACAGGAGGGAGGGCACGAGUCAGGAGUGGCCACACCUCCAUCGGGGAGCGAAGAAACGGUCAGACGGAAAGUGGAAGGAAGGUGGCGCAGUGAGCAGCCCGGAAAGGGAGCCAGGUCCUAAAGCCCGACGCAAGGAGACAGAAGGGUCCGGGGGGUCAGCGUCAGAAGAGUCCCGGAAGGAAGAGACCCCGGGGGGCAGAGGGACCCAGAGAAGAACAGUCAGGCGGAAAAGGUGGAGUAAGGCUAGGGUAUUAAGUUGGUGUACAGGGGGCGGAGACUCAGACGGAGCUUCGCCGGUCUAGCCCUUAAGACGUAGAGUUGCGUGCAGCAGCUUGAGAAUGGAAACUGUAACUCAAUAAAAGACUUUUACAAGUGACCGCUGGCUAGCGUGAUCCUCUGUGAGCUAGGAUCUGGAAGCAGCUCUGACACUUGUGAAGUUACAAUUUAUUAUGCGUUGAAUCUAGAUGCAGUUAGUUGCAUUGAGAUCCCAGUGCCAGUGCCAGAUUUAGGGUGGUGCGGGUGGUUCCCCUAUAUGGAGCACCGAGAAGAGGGAGUGAAAAAUUGAGACCUGGUUUGUUCCCCAUUUGUCCUCAUAACAACCCCAUGAGGUAAUUUGGGCUGACAGAGCAUAAUUGGCACAAGCUUCCCCAGGUGAGAAAUGAGCCCAAGUUUUGCCAAUCUUAGUCCAGUACUACAUAGCUACUAUGCAACAUUGGC
ensembl:lncRNA